rnacentral:rRNA from 1 species
UGGGUAACCUGCCUCAAAGAGGGGAAUAGCCUCCCGAAAGGGAGAUUAAUACCGCAUAAUAUGUUUUAGUCGCAUGACUUAAACAUCAAAGGAUUUUCUUUUAGAAAUUCCACUUUGAGAUGGACCCGCGGCGCAUUAGCUAGUUGGUGAGGUAAUGGCUCACCAAGGCGACGACGGGUAGCCGGCCUGAGAGGGUGAUCGGCCACACUGGGACUGAGACACGGCCCAGACUCCGUACGGGAGCAG